rnacentral:tRNA from 1 species
UCCAUAUUGGGUCAGUAGAACAUGAGACUCUUAAUCUCAGGGUUGUGGGUUCAUGCCCCACAUUGGGUG